rnacentral:rRNA from 1 species
GACGAACGCUGGCGGCGUGCUUAACACAUGCAAGUCGAACGGAAAGGCCCUGCUUGCCGGGUACUCGAGUGGCGAACGGGUGAGUAACACGUGGGUGAUCUGCCCUGCACUUCGGGAUAAGCCUGGGAAACUGGGUCUAAUACCGGAUAGGAGCCAUUUUUAGUGUGAUGGUUGGAAAGUUUUUUCGGUGUAGGAUGAGCUCGCGGCCUAUCAGCUUGUUGGUGGGGUAAUGGCCUACCAAGGCGGCGACGGGUAGCCGGCCUGAGAGGGUGGACGGCCACAUUGGGACUGAGAUACGGCCCAGACUCCUACGGGAGGCAGCAGUGGGGAAUAUUGCACAAUGGGCGCAAGCCUGAUGCAGCGACGCCGCGUGGGGGAUGACGGCCUUCGGGUUGUAAACUCCUUUCGCUAGGGACGAAGCUUUUUGUGACGGUACCUAGAUAAGAAGCACCGGCUAACUACGCG